UACUUCUAUUUGAGGCUCUAUGCAUUUUUGUUGAUGAUGCAAGGUUGAAAGAUGAGGAUGGCAGGAUGCACAAAAAUACUUUUACCAACAAUCAUUGUGGCGUCUACUAAAGUGAUUUAUAGCUUUCACUAGAAGAGAUGAAUGGUGGCAAGGGAUAGCAUCAGUAGGUCAGGUUGGUUUGGGAUUAAUAGUGUCGGCUGACAUGUUAUUUGGUCAAAGCACAUUAUCUGACUUGAAGAACAGCUGUUCCUCAAGAAGGAUUACAAGGAUAUGUCCACGGGUGAUAUUGUUUCCGUCUUCAGUAACGGUUAAUAUGCCACCGCUGUGCCGCAACAGAGCGCCCAGUUUAUUUCAAUCGUUUCUUUCUCAGGUUCAGUGAUAGUGUGGUCUGUGCCUCAGUGGUGGAUGCCAGUGUAGUGGCACUAUGGCAGCAUAGCAGUGGCAAAUUGACAGUAGGACAUGGAGGAUAGUCGAGCUAUUGCCGCCUAGAAUUGCUCUGCCAUGGAAUUUAGUUAGGGGAUUUGUGGCUCGGACUCUGGCCAUAAAUAAACACAUAUCGCGCCGCUGGGAGGAGCUUGCUACGCGUGGCAGUGGUGUAAGGGGCCACCGUCGCCUGAGGGGACAUCAC